GUGGCGAACGGGUGAUUAACACGUGAGUAACCUGCCCUUAACUCUGGGAUAAGCCUGGGAAACUGGGUCUAAUACCGGAUAGGAGCGUCCACCGCAUGGUGGGUGUUGGAAAGAUUUAUCGGUUUUGGAUGGACUCGCGGCCUAUCAGCUUGUUGGUGAGGUAAUGGCUCACCAAGGCGACGACGGGUAGCCGGCCUGAGAGGGUGACCGGCCACACUGGGACUGAGACACGGCCCAGACUCCUACGGGAGGCAGCAGUGGGGAAUAUUGCACAAUGGGCGCAAGCCUGAUGCAGCGACGCCGCGUGAGGGAUGACGGCCUUCGGGUUGUAAACCUCUUUCAGUAGGGAAAGAAAGCCGAAAGGUGACGGUUACCUUGCAGAAGAAGCACCGGGCUAAACUACCGUGCCAGGCAAGCCGGCGGGUAAUACGUAAGGGUGCGGAGGCGUUAUUCCGGAAUUAUUUGGGCGUAAAGAGCUCGUAGGGCGGUUUGUCGCGUCUGUCGUGAAAGUCCCGGGGCUUAACCCCGGAUCUGCGGUGGGUACGGGCAGACUAGAGUGCAGUAGGGGGAGGACUGGAAAUCCCUGGUGUAGCGGUGGAAUGCGCAGAUAUCAGGAGGAACACCGAUGGCGAAGGCAGGUCUCUGGGCUGUAACUGACGCUGAGGAGCGAAAGCAUGGGGGAGCGAACAGGAUUAGAUACCCUGGUAGUCCAUGCCGUAAACGUUGGGCACUAGGUGUGGGGACCAUUCCACGGUUUCCGCGCCGCAGCUAACGCAUUAAGUGCCCCGCCUGGGGAGUACGGCCGCAAGGCUAAAACUCAAAGGAAUUGACGGGGGGCCCGCACAAGCGGCGGAGCAUGCGGAAUUAAUUUCGAUGCAACGCGAAGAACCUUUACCCAAGGCUUGAACAUGUUCUCGAUCGCCGUAAGAAGAAUACGGUUUUCCCCUUUGGGGCCGGGGUUCCACAAGGGUGGUUGCAAUGAAUGUCCGUACAGCUCGGUGUUCGUAGAGAAUGGUGGGAUUUAAGUUCCCCGCAACGAGCGCAACCCUCGUUCCAUGUUGCCAGCACGUCGUGGUGGGGACUCAUGGGAGACUGCCGGGGUCAACUCGGAGGAAGGUGAGGACGACGUCAAAUCAUCAUGCCCCUUAUGUCUUGGGCUUCACGCAUGCUACAAUGGCCGGUACAAUGGGUUGCGAUACUGUGAGGUGGAGCUAAUCCCAAAAAGCCGGUCUCAGUUCGGAUUGGGGUCUGCAACUCGACCCCAUGAAGUCGGAGUCGCUAGUAAUCGCAGAUCAGCAACGCUGCGGUGAAUACGUUUUCUGGCCUUGUACACGCCGCCCGUUAAGUGUAUAAAGGUAUUAUAUAGUGU
rnacentral:rRNA from 1 species